rnacentral:rRNA from 1 species
AGAUCAAAUUGUUGGUCGUGCCUUGGUACGUACUGGCAUUAUUGGUUUCUCCCUUCUGAAGAACCAUGAUGUCAUUAAUUUGGUGUCAUGGGGAAUCAGGACUGUUACUUUGAAAAAAUUAGAGUGUUUAAAGCAGACUAUCGUCUGAAUACAUUAGCAUGGAAUAAUGAAAUAGGACGGACUGAUUCUAUUUCGUUGGUUUCUAGGAUCACCGUA